UUUAAAAAUAAUUUAUUUAUUUAUUGUUUUAGUAUUAAGUAAAAAUUAAUUUUAAGAUUUAUAGUUAAUUAGUAUUGUAAAAGAAUUUAUUUAAAUUAUAAAAAGAAUUUUUAAUAGUACCUUUUGUAUCAGGGUUGAUUAAAAAUUUUUAAUUAUUUUAAAUUUCUCAAAAUUUAUGGGAGUUAAUUUUAUUAUAAAUUUAUUGUGGUAUAAAUAUUUAUUAAAUAAUAUUAGUUUUGAAAUUUAAUUCGUUAUAAAAUAUUUAGUUAUUUAAGAUUUAAAUUUAAUUUAAAAAUUUAAAAGUUUAAUUAUUUUAGAUAAAUAAUAUAAUUUUAAAUUUAAAUUAUUUUAGGGAUAAGCUUGAAUUUAUAUAUAAUUUUUUUUUUUUUAAUAAUAUAUAGGAAUAGAAAUUUUUAUUUUAAGUUUGUAAAAUUUAUUAUUUUUAAAUAUUUUAUUUAUUAUAAAUUAAAAUUUAUUUUUAAUAUUAAAUUAUAUUAAUUAAUAAAUAAUUAAUAGUAAUAAUGAUUAAAUUAGUAUAAUAUGUAAUUAUAAAUUAUGAAUUCGGCAAAUAAUAUUUUCAUCUGUUUAACAAAAACAUUGUAUUAAGUUUUAUUUAAUAUAGGAUCUGCUCAAUGAUUUUAUUAAAUAGCUGCAGUAUUUUGACUGUGCAAAG
rnacentral:rRNA from 1 species